rnacentral:rRNA from 1 species
GUGGGGAAUAUUGCGCAAUGGGGGAAACCCUGACGCAGCAACGCCGCGUGAGUGAGGAAGGACUUCGGUCUGUAAAGCUCUGUUAAUGUGGAAAAAUGGUAGUUGGUCUAAUAGGCCGAUUAUUUGAUGGUACACAUAGAGGAAGCACCGGCUAACUUCGUGCCAGCAGCCGCGGUAAUACGAAGGGUGCAAGCGUUGUUCGGAUUUAUUGGGCGUAAAGCGCGCGUAGGCGGACCUGCAAGUCAGAUGUGAAAUCUCGGGGCUCAACCUCGAAACUGCGUCUGAAACUACAGGUCUAGAAUCUCGGAGGGGGAAGGGGAAUAUCGCAUGUAGGGGUAAAAUCCGUAGAUAUGCGAUGGAACACCAGAGGCGAAGGCGCCUUCCUGGGCGAGUAUUGACGCUGAGGCGCGAAAGCGUGGGGAUCAAACAGGAUUAGAAACCCGAGUAGUCC